rnacentral:rRNA from 1 species
UGGGGAAUAUUGCACAAUGGGCGGAAGCCUGAUGCAGCAACGCCGCGUGAGUGAUGAAGGCCUUCGGGUUGUAAAGCUCUGUCUUUUGGGACGAUAAUGACGGUACCAAAGGAGGAAGCCACGGCUAACUACGUGCCAGCAGCCGCGGUAAUACGUAGGUGGCAAGCGUUGUCCGGAUUUACUGGGCGUAAAGGAUGCGUAGGCGGAUUUUUAAGUGAGAUGUGAAAUACCCGGGCUUAACUUGGGUGCUGCAUUUCAAACUGGGAAUCUAGAGUGCGGGAGAGGAGAAUGGAAUUCCUAGUGUAGCGGCGAAAUGCGUAGAGAUUAGGAAGAACACCAGUGGCGAAGGCGAUUCUCUGGACCGUAACUGACGCUGAGGCAUGAAAGCGUGGGUAGCAAACAGGAUUAGAUACCCUGGUAGUCCACGCCGUAAACGAUGAGUACUAGGUGUAGGAGGUAUCGACCCCUUCUGUGCCGCAGUUAACACAAUCAAGUACUCCGCCUGGGAAGUACGAUCGCAAGAUUAAAACUCAAAGGAAUUGACGGGGUC